GUUUAAAUCUCCCCAGGUGAUUCUAAUGUGCAAUGAUGGUUGCAAACCACCGACCUAGAGGCUGCUUCAGGAGGAUGACAACACCAAGCUCCACUCUGCAUCUUGAACUACCUCAGAACUUGCUGAUGCUAGAACCACACUUGGGUGGCAAGACUUCACACGGAGGCCAGGAAAAUCUCAGUUAUCAACAAAAUUUUAUGUGGCUGCUAUUCUGUUAACAAAGUUCCAGAGUGAGAAGUAGGGGAGAGCUCCUCAAAUGACCCACAGAAGGCAUUCAGCAUGAAUGAACGCAAAAAACAGAGCUUUGUUGUAUAGGUCACUAAAAUUUUGGAACUGUUUAUCACCUGUUUUAGCCUAUCCUAAUUAAUAGGGUAUCAAGUACAUAUUAUCUGCAUUUUACUCAUAAAUAAAGACUCACAUGAAUGUUCUAACUUGUUCAAGGUCAAGAUGUCAAUAAAAGACAGAACUGUGAUGUGAAUAGUUCUUUCUGAAUUUAGAGCCCAACUCUUUACCACUGAGCUUAUUUCAUGGAUUUGAACUAGUGCUUGCAAUACAUUUACUUUUAUGUGAGCUUCCUUAGACUUAGUGGUUCUAUAAAAGACUUGUUUGUGAUACUGUUU